GGUAUUUUCAUUUUUCAACUGCCACACAGAAAAUGGAGGGGUUGCCGCUGCCACACAGCAAUUACCAUGCAGAAAAAGGAGUUGAGAAGGGAGUAGCCUCUGAUAUGUAGUCAGCAUGAAUCAGCCUUAGGUUCCCUGCCUCCAUACCCAAUUCUUCUGCCUCAUUAUGAUUCCACUAUGAGGCAUCCAGAGUAGUCAAACUUAUAAAGACAGAAAGUAGAGCUGUGGCUGCCAGGUGGGUGGAAGGAGAGAGAAGUAGUUAUUGCUUAAUGAGUAGGAAAUUUCAGUUUGGGAAGACGAAAAAUGUUCUGAAGAUGGAUGGUGGUGAUGGUCGUGCAACAAUGUGAAUGUACUUGAUGCCACAUAAAAAGUGGCUAACAUGGACCACAUGGAAGGAGAGAAAACACCUGAACAGCUCCAACUGUGGCAGCCAUACCAGCCCAGAUGCCAGACAGUGAAUGAAGACGGGCAUCCCAUUCCCAGUAGAAAUGACGUGAAGAACCGAAAAAAACUCACCGACAGCCCUAGAUAUACACCUCCAGGUGACCAACCCAGACACCACCAACAGUUAGCGCUACUCCAGCUGAAUACUCCCCAACAAAAAUCUAUCCUUGCUAUGUGUUGCCUGAAUUCAUGACCAACAACGGUAUGAACAUAAUAAAAUGAUUGUUAUUUUA
rnacentral:lncRNA from 1 species